CCCUUAGAUGUUCUGGGCCGCACGCGUGCUACACUGAGUGGAUCAGCGGGUCAGGUUGCGCGAAAGUGUUUCCUAAUCUUUAAAUCCGCUCGUGAUGGGGAUUGACGGUUGCAAUUUUCCGUCAUGAACGAGGAAUACCUUGUAAGCGCGGGUCAUCAUCCCGCGCUGAAUACGUCCCUGCCCUUUGUACACACCGCCCGUCGCUCCUACCGAUUGAGUGGUCCGGUGAGGCUUUGGGAUCUGAGCGGAAAGAGCGUUUCGCUGUUUCUGCUCGGAAAACUCAGUCGAACCUUAUCAUUUAGAGGAAGGAGAGGUCGUAACA
rnacentral:rRNA from 1 species